CCGGCCAAAGCAAGAAGAAAAGGGAAAAAGCGUAGAACAAACCCUAGAGAAGAAAAUCAAGAGAAAAUUCAUUGGAUUUCAAGGAAUUAAGCAAGUAAAGGUAAAAUUUCUUAAUUCUAGCUUGUGAUCUACCUUUCCUAUGCAUUCUUUUUCAAUUACCAUGGUUAAAAUUCAAGAUCUCAUGAAGGAUUCAUGGCUGACCGAAUUUAGGGAGAGAAGAUUUGAUGAUUUAUUUGGUUAGAUUUCAAGGUAUCUUAGUGUUUUUAGUUGUUUGGUGAUGUUUAGCAUGAAAAACAAGCAAAAAAUUUCAUGCCCUUCACCCACACUCCUUGGCUGAAAUUUUCAAGAGAGAAAUUGGAUAAUGGACUUUGAUGAAUUUCAUGCUAUUUAGGUGUUUUUAGUUGUUUUAUGAUGUAAGGUGUAAAAAUCAAGCAUGAAAAUUACAUGUUCUACACUAAACCUUCAAUGGUCGAAUUUUACAAGGAAGAUAUUGAUGAUGGAUUUUUGUGAUAUUACGUAUUAUUUAACUUGUAAUUGAUGACUUGGAGUGUUGGAAGUGGAAUCAAGUUAAUUGGAGUUGAAUUGGAUGUAUUGGCCAAUUAACCGGUGUAUAGAUCGAAUUAGGCCAAUACCAUUUUAUUUCGAUAUAUAAUUGAAGCUAUGUAGAACACCAUAUUUAGAUAAUAAUCCGAACAUUUCGCAUCCUAUUUCAUGCAUUCAUAUAGAGCCUAAAUUAGUUUUAUAACGGUUUAGUACAAAUUUAGUAAAUUGCUUGUUGUGCAUUAUGUUUAGGUAGUGAAACUUUCGAUAAGGGUAAGGAGAUUGUACCCGAAGAUUGGGACUAGGAGUACUUCGACUCUCGAUAUUAUAAGUAACCUUAUUAUCAUCUUAAUUAUCUAAA
rnacentral:lncRNA from 1 species